rnacentral:misc_RNA from 1 species
AUGGACGAGACCUGGACAACAGACAGCGAGCUUAUGAAGGGAAGCCCAUCCACCGGCGGGAAUAGAGUCGCCGACGAGAAGAUCAGCAACGAGAGAAGGGAUGGAGUUAGAACACUUGGUUUUCCAGCAGAUGUUACGGAUUGUAGAGGAGAAUUUGGUGGAAACACAAGCUAAUCGAGCCCAGUUACGGGGAUCGUCUUCGAGUUUGAAGAAGAUGUUGAGAAGAAUGUCAUCGGGAAGGGAAGAGAAGAGGGAAUCGGCCAUGGGAAAAGAAGGGUUUGUGAAAAGAGAGGAUGAGAUUGGGAUUGGAAGAGAGAGUGUUGAAGUUGAAGUUGAAGUUGAA